UACAGAGGUCUCAAGCGUUGUUCGGAUUCAUUGGGCGUAAAGGGUGCGUAGGCGGCUCGGUAAGUCGGGUGUGAAAUCUCGGAGCUUAACUCCGAAACUGCAUUCGAUACUGCCGUGCUUGAGGACUGGAGAGGAGACUGGAAUUUACGGUGUAGCGGUGAAAUGCGUAGAUAUCGUAAGGAAGACCAAUGGCGAAGGCGGGUCUCUGGACAGUUCCUGACGCUGAGGCACGAAGGUCAGGGGAGCAAACGGG
rnacentral:rRNA from 1 species